rnacentral:rRNA from 1 species
UACGGAGGAUCCGAGCGUUAUCCGGAUUUAUUGGGUUUAAAGGGAGCGUAGGCGGACUAUUAAGUCAGCUGUGAAAGUUUGCGGCUCAACCGUAAAAUUGCAGUUGAUACUGGUCGUCUUGAGUGCAGUAGAGGUAGGCGGAAUUCGUGGUGUAGCGGUGAAAUGCUUAGAUAUCACGAAGAACUCCGAUUGCGAAGGCAGCUUACUGGACUGUAACUGACGCUGAUGCUCGAAAGUGUGGGUAUCAAACAGGAUUAGAUACCCUGGUAGUCCACACAGUAAACGAUGAAUACUCGCUGUUUGCGAUAUACGGCAAGCGGCCAAGCGAAAGCAUUAAGUAUUCCACCUGGGGAGUACGCCGGCAACGGUGAAACUCAAAGGAAUUGACGGGGGCCCGCACAAGCGGAGGAACAUGUGGUUUAAUUCGAUGAUACGCGAGGAACCUUACCCGGGCUUAAAUUGCAUCUGAAUAAUUUGGAAACAGAUUAGCCGUAAGGCAGAUGUGAAGGUGCUGCAUGGUU